rnacentral:rRNA from 1 species
GAUGAACGCUGGCGGCGUGCCUAAUACAUGCAAGUCGAGCGAAUGGAUUAAGAGCUUGCUCUUAUGAAGUUAGCGGCGGACGGGUGAGUAACACGUGGGUAACCUGCCCAUAAGACUGGGAUAACUCCGGGAAACCGGGGCUAAUACCGGAUAACACUUUGAACCGCAUGGUUCGAAAUUGAAAGGCGGCUUCGGCUGUCACUUAUGGAUGGACCCGCGUCGCAUUAGCUAGUUGGUGAGGUAACGGCUCACCAAGGCAACGAUGCGUAGCCGACCUGCGAGGGUGAUCGGCCACACUGGGACUGAGACACGGCCCAGACUCCUACGGGAGGCAGCAGUAGGGAAUCUUCCGCAAUGGACGAAAGUCUGACGGAGCAACGCCGCGUGAGUGAGGAAGGCUUUCGGGUCGUAAAACUCUGUUGUUAGGGAAGAACAAGUGCUAGUUGAAUAAGCUGGCACCUUGACGGUACCUAACCAGAAAGCCACGGCUAACUACGUGCCAGCCGCCGCGGUAA